AAACACGGUUUUAUUAACAAUGGUAGUAGCGAUUAUUUAAUAAAAUAUCAGGGAUUGGCGUAGACAGAUGAUGACAUGCUAGGAGCCUCUGUUACUAUUAACAAGGAAUAAGCUUCCUCGAGAGUGACCUGAUCUGUUCGUGCAUAAAUGGAGGACACGAAGCUAUCAUAAUUGUGUCCUAGGCCAGCAAGAACAUAGGAUAUGAUGUCAUCAUAGUGGAGUGAUUAACCAGCCACAACAAGCUCAUCAGUUAAUUUCUUGUUAGAUAGAAAGUAUUCAGUGGCAGGUUGACUGCCUUUCUUAAUUGUAGCAAGUUGGGUCUGAAUAUGCAUGAUACGAGCUUUAGAUUGAGAAAAGAAAUGAACGGCAAGAGCUUGCCAAACAACAUGAGAGGUGGUAUAAGAAAUCACUUGAGUGAGAACACCUUCAGUUAUAGAAGAUGUAAGAGUGCUCAGAAUAAGAUUUUCAUGUCGUACCCAAUGAGAAUAAGCAGGAAUUUGAGUGAGUUCUCUAGUAUCGGGAUGUAUAGUAGUAAUAAAUGGUAAGGGAUUCGGAAUUUUUCCGUCAAGAUAUCCAUAUAAUUCUUGUCCACGAAAAUAAGGCACUAAUUGUGCCUUCUGAAGAGGGUAGUUAUCAGCUGUCAGUUUCAUAGAAGAAAUAUUUGGCAUGGGAGAGAUUGUGGUGAGAGAUGGUGGGAUAUUAUCAAUGUUGGUUGUAGAGGAAGAAGAGGUAGCCAUGUGAAGACGUUAGUCUUUUUUUAUAGCUCUGAUACCAUAUGGCAAACAAUAAUUGAGUUGAAGAUGCUAUAUUUUAUUAUCUCUCAACGUCAGAUACAAGGAUAGUUUUUAUAUAGUUGUAGUAUAACAUAAUAGCUAAAUUAUAGUACUUUAAAAUUACUAGAUAAUGAUUAACAUAUCAAGUUACACUAUCUUCCAUAAUCUUCUCCCGCAUAUUUGCUUGUUGGCAGCUACGGCUUUGUGUUGCUGACUUUGUUUCAAACUCAACCUUAUCGUCUGCAUAGCUUGACUCACCAAUUGUUUCUACGUGGAGAGAGAAAUGCUGCUGAACGUUAUCUUCAAAUCUAUCGACAAUAACUAAUAGACACUCGUGCCAUCACAGCUAUUGAAGGUGUUUCAGAGAAAUGUCUUUCUUGGCUGUCUGUCUUCUGUACUGCGCAUGUACCCGCAGGUCUGUAAUGGUGACAAUAUCUUAAUAUCUUUAGAUACUGUUCCUGGCACCUUCUUGAAGAAAAAGCAUCUCCGUGUGAUGAUGUAUUAAUGUGGCUAGUGGUGAGAACUGGCAGUAGGGCAUGACCAUGUGAGCUUCAUUCAUGGUAGUCUUUCCGGAAAGUUCAAUUAUUGAACUUGUGAAAAUCAGGAUGUCAUAUAUGCUGAGUUAAAGUCUCUGUGUUUCCAAUUCCCCUACGAGCUAUGAUACCAGUACCUUUUCUCAUUACCUGUGGAUUGAGGUUCUUUGCUACCACUCUCAGGUUCUAUACUACUUAUUGCAGAGAGAUCUGGCAUGCAGGUAUAGACUUUAAACUGAGGAUGUCAGCUCAAUUCCAUUAAAUUCCACUCCAGUAUUUAUUUAUUUUUCCCAAGAAAAUGUUUCGAGGUAUUGUAUUGAUUUGAAUUUGAUGAAAAAGAUCCAUAUCUGAAUCAAAAAUUCAUGUACAGGACAUGCUUUUAACACACAGAAUUUCAUUUUUAAAGCUUGUCCUGAUGCACAGAAAAAAAUAGAAGAUAUCUGUUUAUUUUUUUAUU